rnacentral:rRNA from 1 species
AUACGGAGGAUGCGAGCGUUAUCCGGAUUUAUUGGGUUUAAAGGGUGCGCAGGCGGGCGAUUAAGUCAGCGGUGAAAGGCUCGGGCUCAACCGGAGCAGUGCCGUUGAUACUGGUUGUCUUGAAUGCGGUCAAGGCCGGCGGAAUGUGGCGUGUAGCGGUGAAAUGCAUAGAUAUGCCACAGAACACCGAUAGCGAAGGCAGCUGGCCGGGCCUGCAUUGACGCUGAGGCACGAAAGCGUGGGGAUCGAACAGGAUUAGAUACCCUGGUUGUCCACGCUGUAAACGAUGGACACUCGUUGUCGGCGACAGACAGUCGGCGGCCAAGCGAAAGUGAUAAGUGUCCCACCUGGGGAGUACGGUCGCAAGGCUGAAACUCAAAUGAAUUGACGGGG